AACGAACGCUGGCGGCAUGCCUAACACAUGCAAGUCGAACGAGAUCUUCGGGUCUAGUGGCGCACGGGUGCGUAACGCGUGGGAAUCUGCCCUUUGGUUCGCAAUAACAGUUGGAAACGACUGCUAAUACCGGAUGAUGACGAAGGCCCAAAGAUUUAUCGCCAGAGGAUGAGCCCGCGUAGGAUUAGCUAGUUGGUGUGGUAAAGGCGCACCAAGGCGACGAGCCUUAGCUGGUCUGAGAGGAUGAUCAGGCACACUGGGACUGAGACACGGCCCAGACUCCUACGGGAGGCAGCAGUGGGGAAUAUUGGACAAUGGGCGAAAGCCUGAUCCAGCAAUGCCGCGUGAGUGAUGAAGGCCUUAGGGUUGUAAAGCUCUUUUACCCGGGAUGAUAAUGACAGUACCGGGAGAAUAAGCUCCGGCUAACUCCGUGCCAGCCGCCGCCGUAA
rnacentral:rRNA from 1 species